rnacentral:rRNA from 1 species
CAAUAGCGUAUAUUAAAGUUGUUGCGGUAAAAAGCUCGUAGUUGGAUUUCUGUUGAGGACGACCGGUCCACUCCACGAGUGCGCAUCUGGUUCGGCCUUAGCAUCUUCUCGUUGGACGUUGAUGUGCUUGAUUGCAUGUUGCGGACUACGGGACUUUUACUUUGAGGAAAUUAGAGUGUUCACGGCAGGCUUUCGCCCGAAUAUAUUAGCAUGGAAUAAUACUAUAGGAUUUUGUUCCUAUUUUGUUGGUUUCUAGGAACGAAAUAAUGAUUAAUAGGGACAAUUGGGGGCAUUCGUACUGGCACGUCAGAGGUGGAAUUCUUGGAUUGUGCUAUGACGAACUACUGCGAAAGCAUUUGCCAAGGAUGUUUUCAUUGAUCAAGAACGAAAGUACGGGGAUCGAAGACGAUCAGAUACCAU